rfam:Stegodyphus mimosarum contig14682, whole genome shotgun sequence.
GCCUUCGUGGUGUAGUGGUCAGCACGCUCGACGCGUAUUCGAGAGGUCCGUGGUUCGAGUCCCGACGACGGCA